UGUUGGGAUUACAGGCGUGAGCCACCGCACCCGGCCCCAAGGACUCUUUUUAAUGCUGUGAGGGCAGUUCCUUCUGCCCUUACUGAGGUUUGGUUACUGAGUCUAAAACUUCCUUUUCUUCCUACAGUGAGUUUGAAUUGGGUUUCUGUCACAUGAAACCGCAGAAUCCUGAUGAAUGUGGGGAAUACUUAAAAAAUAUAAUGACUUAUUUGCUAGUGAUAGAGACAGGAGACAGCUAAGGGUCCCUGGCGAAACCCCACCUUCAAGCCUAAAACAGCCUGAAGGCUGAACAACCGGACUGCUGGUCCCAGAUGAAGCCCUCCCUUUCCCAGCUGAUCCUUUCUUAAUCACGCCGACCUGCGCCUGCGCACUGGGAGGAUGGGGGUGGAGCCUCGGGAAGGUCACCCCGUUUGCGUGGGGAGGAGCCUGGCCUCUCCUGUUCCUGUGUGGUGACCUGGGAUUCAGUCUGUGAGGCGGGAAAUUUGCUAGCAGGACUCUCUCUUGCUCUGCUGAGAGGUUUCACUGUCACCUAAGCUGGAGUGCAGUGGCACAGUCAUGGCUCACUGCAGCCUCAACCUUCUGGGCUCAAGCAAUCCUUCUGUCUCAGUCCCUCAAGUGACUAGGACUACAGGUAUGUGUCACCACUGGCUAUUUUUUUUGUUUGUUUUUUGAGACGACAUCUUACUAUGUUGCCCAAGCUCAUCUUGAACUCCUGGGCUCAAGUGAUCCUCCCUCUGCCUCUGCCUCCCAAAAUGUUGCGAUUACAGGUGUGAGCCACCCUGCCCGGCCUUGUGUUUCAUUUUUAACCCUGAUAUAAGUAACAACACAUCUGCUUAUUAAUAUGUUCAUGUUAACAUUUACUAUCCAGUUUGGGUGGAAGGAGAGUGUUCUCUGCCUCUGAGGUCCAGUUUUAACAUUUAUAAGUGCAGCGGGUCCUCCUGUUGUGGCCCACAAACCUUACUUGGGAAAAUGUCACAUUUGAGCAACCACACAAAACUACUCUGUGAUCUCUGAAUAUAGUAAGGUCACCAGCCCCCACUUGAUCUUCUGUUAAAUGACCAAGAUCAUUUCUGGUCAGAAAGUAUGUGUGUUUUUGCGAGUUUUUUUUGUCUUUGUUGACACAUAAUGGUGUAGAAAUCAAGCUUAAAACUGAUUGUAGAACAGUUUGGUGAGAAAGAUUUUUGCUUUUCUGCCAUAAUAUUCCCCUGGACUUUGCUUCGGGUCCAAAGUAACACCGGGAAGUUUAAGACCACAGAAAUGUGACUAAAUGAAUGCUGAUCACAUUUACAAAAGCAAGUGACUUUGUCCAAAGUCUCUCAUUCUCAGAUCCAUAGUAGACAUAUAGAUACUUUUUCUAAGGGCAAAAUUUCCUGGUUCACUAAGCCAGACUUCCAUGUUAUUGACGAAAUAAAGAUAAUAUUGAAAAUGACAGUGUCUGAGAAGCAAUCUCAAACUGCCUUUUAUUACUGCACACAGUUAACGUGGAAUUGAGAAUCACUUUCUUUCUAACAUAAAAUGUGAGCCGUAGAGUUACUACUGAAAUUCACCACAGUGAUUCAGCCAACAACUCAACUUAUUCCUUUGCAAAAAUUUCUGAAGGUUUUUUUUUCUCCCUUCAAUCUCAGCAUUACAAAAUAAUGAGCAAACAGUUAAAUUGGCCCAGCUCUGAGUUUCAAGAGAGAUUUAUGGUCUGCUCAUCCUCUGGAGGGACCAUAAAACCACCGAUGACAUCUUACUUUGAAAUCUCUUGUAUUAAGUAAAGAGAUGGGUGUGGUGCGAUAGUGAACUCUGCAUGUGAGUGGUAUUUAGACAAGUUCUGUACUUCAAAACAGAGUCCUUAACUCAUACGAAGGCUUCCUGCCACUAGCAAGGGAUCUCAGUAAUGAGCGUGCUGCCUUCCCUAACACCCCCAUCCUUUUCCAGAAAGAUUCUUAAUUUUAUCCUAAAUAUAUUUGAUAUUUUUUCCUCUGUAUUUUGCUUUGGGUUUAAAAAAUUCCCUGAAAGAUUUUUUUCUCGUCUGUGGAAGCAUCAAGCCGCAGAUCCAAGUCAGUCCAAAUCACCAGGAUCAUACAAGACGAUAAAAGUGCCUUCAAGUUCUAAUACUUGCUGGAUGGGCCCAAGCCGCGUUUUAAAUGUGAACAAUGGGGUGGCUGCGGCAGAGAACUGACCAUUUACUUCCUGCCUCAGAUGACCCCCUUGUGAUCUCUGAAACUGGGCAGAGGAAUAAGGAAAGGGAAAGAACUGGGUUUUGGGGAGAAACAUGCUUUCUGGAAGGCGCCCAGGUUUACCCAAAGAGCACAGUUAAGUGCUGAAUUUCAACUAGCUCUGGAGUCACCCUGUUUGGGGCCUCAUUCUGGAAACCCGAAGUCCAGCGGCAGCUUUCCUCCACAUCAGGACAGAGAGUGGGGUUUGGGAGCGGACGAGGGAGCGGGAGUGGACGAGGGAGCAGGAGUGGGGCUCAACGACGACCCAGGCGCUCAAGGGGAAGGGGCUGAGAGCGUUUCUUCGCUGUGCGGCUGCAAUAGAAACUUUUUCCUCGUACUAUCUGACUCCGGGACUGGACUGUGAGGUCUGCAACAGCUGGUGGGGUUCGGGUGGGGAACACACUCUAAGCCCAGCGCCAGGGCUGGAGCCGUGGGUGGAGCCGCUGCAGCCCUGGGCCGGGGGCGUCAGGAAACUCGAGACUGGGGCGCGGGGAGGCCCCGGCCAGAGCGCCCGCUCUCCCGCGUCCCGGGCGGGGUCCUCACCUGUUCCAGCGGGCCACCUUCCUCCGGUAAUACCGCAGCGCCUCCUGGCUGGCCAGGAGCGAGUCCUC
rnacentral:lncRNA from 10 species